UACAGAGAAUUGAUACAAAAAAUGAUCAUGUGAAGAAUUUGCAUCUUCUGCAGAACUACCAGUAUCAGUCAGCACUAGGAGACUGUAUAAAUUCAGCCUGAGAUUCCAGAAUAUUCUGUGUAUUGACCACUACAGCAAGAAGAAAAAGUCCAUGUAGGACUGAAAUCUAAGGGCAGCCAUUUCACACUCUUUUGAGCAAGGAGAAACAAGUUGAAAUCUGCUGGGGAC